AUUGAACGCUAGCGGGAUGCUUUACACAUGCAAGUCGAACGGCAGCACGAGAGAGCUUGCUCUCUUGGUGGCGAGUGGCGGACGGGUGAGUAAUGUAUCGGAACGUGCCCAGUAGCGGGGGAUAACUACGCGAAAGCGUGGCUAAUACCGCAUACGCCCUACGGGGGAAAGGGGGGGAUUCUUCGGAACCUCUCACUAUUGGAGCGGCCGAUAUCAGAUUAGCUAGUUGGUGGGGUAAUGGCCUACCAAGGCAACGAUCUGUAGCUGGUUUGAGAGGACGACCAGCCACACUGGGACUGAGACACGGCCCAGACUCCUACGGGAGGCAGCAGUGGGGAAUUUUGGACAAUGGGGGAAACCCUGAUCCAGCCAUCCCGCGUGUGCGAUGAAGGCCUUCGGGUUGUAAAGCACUUUUGUCAGGGAAGAAAUCGUAUGGGUUAAUACCCUGUGCGGAUGACGGUACCUGAAGAAUAAGCACCGGCUAACUACGUGCCAGCAGCCGCGGUAAUACGUAGGGUGCAAGCGUUAAUCGGAAUUACUGGGCGUAAAGGGUGCGCAGGCGGUUUAUCAAGAAAGGUGUGAAAUCCCCGGGCUCAACCUGGGAAUGGCACUUUUAACUGAUAGGCUAGAGUAUGUCAGAGGGGGGUAGAAUUCCACGUGUAGCAGUGAAAUGCGUAGAGAUGUGGAGGAAUACCGAUGGCGAAAGGCAGCCCCCUGGGAUAAUACUGACGCUCAUGCACGAAAGCGUGGGGGAGCAAACAGGAUUAGAUACCCUGGUAGUCCACGCCCUAAACGAUGUCAACUAGCUGUUGGGGGCUUCGGCCCUUAGUAGCGCAGCUAACGCGUGAAGUUGACCGCCUGGGGACUACGGUCGCAAGACUAAAACUCAAAGGAAUUGACGGGGACCCGCACAAGCGGUGGAUGAUGUGGAUUAAUUCGAUGCAACGCGAAAAACCUUACCUACCCUUGACAUGUCUGGAAUCCCGAAGAGAUUUGGGAGUGCUCGCAAGAGAACCGGAACACAGGUGCUGCAUGGCUGUCGUCAGCUCGUGUCGUGAGAUGUUGGGUUAAGUCCCGCAACGAGCGCAACCCUUGUCAUUAGUUGCUACGAAAGGGCACUCUAAUGAGACUGCCGGUGACAAACCGGAGGAAGGUGGGGAUGACGUCAAGUCCUCAUGGCCCUUAUGGGUAGGGCUUCACACGUCAUACAAUGGUCGGGACAGAGGGUCGCCAACCCGCGAGGGGGAGCCAAUCUCAGAAACCCGAUCGUAGUCCGGAUUGUAGGCUGCAAUUCGCCUGCAUGAAGUCGGAAUCGCUAGUAAUCGCGGAUCAGAAUGUCGCGGUGAAUACGUUCCCGGGUCUUGUACUCACCGC
rnacentral:rRNA from 1 species